GCCAAGCAUGGGUUAAGUGGUUUGAGCAUUGGACUUUGACUCUGGAGACUAGGAUUCGAAUCCCAGUUUUGGUG